GAUAACGGGCUGAUCUACACCAAGAGCUCACAGUGACCGGAAGAUUUGGCACCUUGAUGUCAGCUCUUCGCCACCUGGGGCUAUAGUAUGUUCCAAGGGUUGGGCUGUUUGCCCAUUAAAGCGGUACAUGAGCUGAUUUCAGAACAUCGAUCCAUAGAGC
rnacentral:rRNA from 1 species